AGCAUUAUACAGCGAAACUGCGAAUGGCUCAUUAUAUCAGUUAUCGUUUAUUUGAUAGUACCUUACUACAUGGAUAACCGUGGUAAUUCUAGAGCUAAUACAUGCUGAAAAUCCCGACUUCGGAAGGGAUGUAUUUAUUAGAUUAAAAACCAAUGCCCUUCGGGGCUCUUUGGUGAUUCAUAAUAACUUGUCGAAUCGCAUGGCCUUGUGCCGGCGAUGGUUCAUUCAAAUUUCUGCCCUAUCAACUUUCGACGGCUGGGUCUUGGCCAGCCAUGGUGACAACGGGUAACGGAGGGUUAGGGCUCGACCCCGGAGAAGGAGCCUGAGAGACGGCUACUACAUCCAAGGAAGGCAGCAGGCGCGCAAAUUACCCAAUACCGACACGGUGAGGUAGUGACAAUACAUACUGAUACAGGGCUCUUUUGGGUCUUGUAAUUGGAAUGAGUACUAUUUAAAUCCCAUAACGAGGAACAAUUGGAGGGCAAGUCUGGUGCCAGCAGCCGCGGUAAUUCCAGCUCCAAUAGCGUAUAUUAAAGUUGUUGCAGUUAAAAAGCUCGUAGUUGAACCUUGGGCCUGGCUGGCCGGUCCGCCUCACCGCGUGCACUGGUCCGGCCGGGCCUUUCCCUCUGGGGAACCGCAUGCUCUUCACUGAGUGUGCUGGGGAACCAGGACUUUUACUUUGAAAAAAUUAGAGUGUUCAAAGCAGGCCUAUGCUCGAAUACAUUAGCAUGGAAUAAUAGAAUAGGACGUGCGGUCCUAUUUUGUUGGUUUCUAGGACCGCCGUAAUGAUUAAUAGGGACAGUCGGGGGCAUCAGUAUUCAAUUGUCAGAGGUGAAAUUCUUGGAUUUAUUGAAGACUAACUACUGCGAAAGCAUUUGCCAAGGAUGUUUUCAUUAAUCAGGAACGAAAGUUAGGGGAUCGAAGACGAUCAGAUACCGUCGUAGUCUUAACCAUAAACUAUGCCGACUAGGGAUCGGACGAUGUUACUUUUUGACUCGUCCGGCACCUUACACGAAAGUACAAG
rnacentral:rRNA from 1 species